rnacentral:rRNA from 1 species
AGAGUUUGAUCCUGGCUCAGGAUGAACGCUGGCGGCGUGCCUAAUACAUGCAAGUCGAGCGAACAGAUGAGAAGCUUGCUUCUCUGAUGUUAGCGGCGGACGGGUGAGUAACACGUGGGUAACCUACCUAUAAGACUGGGAUAACUCCGGGAAACCGGGGCUAAUACCGGAUAAUAUAUUGAACCGCAUGGUUCAAUGUUGAAAGACGGUUUCGGCUGUCACUUAUAGAUGGACCCGCGCCGUAUUAGCUAGUUGGUAAGGUAACGGCUUACCAAGGCAACGAUACGUAGCCGACCUGAGAGGGUGAUCGGCCACACUGGAACUGAGACACGGUCCAGACUCCUACGGGAGGCAGCAGUAGGGAAUCUUCCGCAAUGGGCGAAAGCCUGACGGAGCAACGCCGCGUGAGUGAUGAAGGUCUUAGGAUCGUAAAACUCUGUUGUUAGGGAAGAACAAAUUUGUUAGUAACUGAACAAGUCUUGACGGUACCUAACCAGAAAGCCACGGCUAACUACGUG